GUAGUCACCCCGAAAUACUCUGUCUAUUCCAGUACAAGGGCAAAGAAAAAGAGAUGAAAUAUUUUAACCUAAAAAAAAAGCUUUUGAAAAGCUGAUUAUGAGUUCUCAGUCCUGUGACUUAAUCCAAAGUUUGAGAGUUAAUCCGGCAAUUAAAGCUAACGUUCAAUGCAUACAUAUAGAGAUCAAAUUUGCAAAAAAUGAUGCUAUUUGCACAAGGUAAAUGCAAGUGAUCCUGUUGGUUCAUAGUGCUAUGACAUCUGACGGCAGACUGCAUCUAUUUGUCCUACAGCAGGGGGAAGCAAACUGUUGGCAAUGAUUUGUGGGUUACUCUGGGUUAAACUAUAAACAGAAAUUCAAAACGUAACACAUUAAAUAAGUUGUAAAGUGGUAAAUGGGCUGUAAGUUGCCAUUUUGUUCAUUGACUAUGCAUACGACCUACACACAAGGGAUUUCCCUAUCUUUGAGCAACCCAGGUUUGUUAAGCAAAGCAUUACGGAAAUAUUGGAAACAUAACAGCCAACCAGGCAAAUUGCAUCCAGAAUGCUUUCAGGAAUAGUUAAAUGUCUGCAUAUGAUGGUCACAGACAGUGGCAUUCAAAGCCACCUUUUUAGGUGGUUCAAUCCAAUGGUUCUAACCCCAGUAAAUUUUCAACAGAAUAUAAAGAAUUGCUUGGGGUAUAUACUAGAUAAAUUCAUUGGAUUACACCUUUAAAAGUUAAGAUCCAAUCCUCAUUGGUACUUUGGCAGCAUCAUUUCACCUUUUACACUGAAAAAGAUUCAAAG
rnacentral:misc_RNA from 1 species